UGGCGGACGGGUGAGUAACGCGUGGAAACCUGCCGUAUACGUGGGGGAUAACACUUAGAAAUAGGUGCUAAUACCGCAUAAGCGCACAGCUUCGCAUGAAGCGGUGUAGAAAAACUCUGGUGGUAUACGAUGGUUCCGCGUCUGAUUAGCUAGUUGGUGGGGUAAUGGCCUACCAAGGCAACGAUCAGUAGCCGGCCUGAGAGGGUGAACGGCCACAUUGGGACUGAGACACGGCCCAAACUCCUACGGAAGGCAGCAG
rnacentral:rRNA from 1 species